rnacentral:rRNA from 1 species
AUGAACGCUGGCGGCGUGCCUAAUACAUGCAAGUCGAGCGAACGGACGAGAAGCUUGCUUCUCUGAUGUUAGCGGCGGACGGGUGAGUAACACGUGGAUAACCUACCUAUAAGACUGGGAUAACUUCGGGAAACCGUAGCUAAUACCGGAUAAUAUUUUGAACCGCAUGGUUCAAAAGUGAAAGACGGUCUUGCUGUCACUUAUAGAUGGAUCCGCGCUGCAUUAGCUAGUUGGUAAGGUAACGGCUUACCAAGGCAACGAUGCAUAGCCGACCUGAGAGGGUGAUCGGCCACACUGGAACUGAGACACGGUCCAGACUCCUACGGGAGGCAGCAGUAGGGAAUCUUCCGCAAUGGGCGAAAGCCUGACGGAGCAACGCCGCGUGAGUGAUGAAGGUCUUCGGAUCGAAAAACCCUGUUAUUAGGGAAGAACAUAUGUGUAAGUAACUGUGCACAUCUUGACGGUACCUAAUCAGAAAGCCACGGCUAACUACGUG